CGAACGAUGAAGCCUUUCGGGGUGGAUUAGUGGCGAACGGGUGAGUAACACGUGGGCAAUCUGCCCUGCACUCUGGGACAAGCCCUGGAAACGGGGUCUAAUACCGGAUACGACACAUCACUGCAUGGUGAAUGUGUGGAAAGCUCCGGCGGUGCAGGAUGAGCCCGCGGCCUAUCAGCUUGUUGGUGGGGUAAUGGCCUACCAAGGCGACGACGGGUAGCCGGCCUGAGAGGGCGACCGGCCACACUGGGACUGAGACACGGCCCAGACUCCUACGGGAGGCAGCAGUGGGGAAUAUUGCACAAUGGGCGAAAGCCUGAUGCAGCGACGCCGCGUGAGGGAUGACGGCCUUCGGGUUGUAAACCUCUUUCAGCAGGGAAGAAGCGCAAGUGACGGUACCUGCAGAAGAAGCACCGGCUAACUACGUGCCAGCAGCCGCGGUAAUACGUAGGGUGCGAGCGUUGUCCGGAAUUAUUGGGCGUAAAGAGCUCGUAGGCGGCUUGUCACGUCGGAUGUGAAAGCCCGGGGCUUAACCCCGGGUCUGCAUUCGAUACGGGCAGGCUAGAGUUCGGUAGGGGAGAUCGGAAUUCCUGGUGUAGCGGUGAAAUGCGCAGAUAUCAGGAGGAACACCGGUGGCGAAGGCGGAUCUCUGGGCCGAUACUGACGCUGAGGAGCGAAAGCGUGGGGAGCGAACAGGAUUAGAUAC
rnacentral:rRNA from 1 species